UUGCUUUGGCAGCACAUAUACUAAAAUCAGAACAAUACAGAGAAAAAUGGCAUAGCCCCUGAGCAAGGAUGACAUGCAAAUUUGGGAAGCCUUCCACUUGUUU